rnacentral:rRNA from 1 species
UCCCAACUUUGUAGCAAUACCGAGUUGGGGGAAGUGGCGAAAGGGGCAGUAAUGCGUGGGUAAUCUACCUCGGGGACGUGGAUAGCCAUUCUAACGAGUGGGUAAUACGCGGCGAUUUGGUUGAGGGGCAUCCCUUGGCCAGGAAAUGAAUUUCGCCUCGAGAGGAACUCACGUGAUAUUAGCUUGUUGGCGGGGUAACGGCCCACCAAGGCAAAGAUGUCUAGCGGGUGUGAGAGCACGACCCGCGCCACUGGCACUGAGACACUGGCCAGACACCUACGGGUGGCUGCAGUCGAGGAUCUUCGGCAAUGGGCGCAAGCCUGACCGAGCGACGCCGCGUGCGCGAUGAAGGCCUUCGGGUUGUAAAGCGCUGUCGAGGGGGAGGAAGCCGAAAGGUUGACCUAUCCCUGGAGGAAGGACGGGCUAAGUUCGUGCCAGCAGCCGCGGUAAGACGAACCGUCCUAACGUUGUUCGGAAUCACUGGGCUUAAAGGGCGCGUAGGCGGCUUGCCAAGUCCGGGGUGAAAUCCUGCAGCUUAACUGUAGAAGGGCCUUGGAUACUGGCAAGCUCGAGGGAGGUAGGGGUCGCUGGAACUUCCGGUGGAGCGGUGAAAUGCGUUGAUAUCGGAAGGAACGCCGGUGGCGAAAGCGAGCGACUGGACCUCUUCUGACGCUGAGGCGCGAAAGCUAGGGGAGCAAACGGGAUUAGAUACCCCGGUAGUCCUAGCCCUAAACGAUGGGUACUAGAUUGUAGACUUAACAUGGGUUUACAAUCGAAGCAAAAGUGUUAAGUACCCCGCCUGGGGAGUAUGGUCGCAAGGCUG